ACUUCACCACAUUCCAUUUCAGUGCCACAACAGAAAAAAUAGUCCAGGGGCAGGAUGCUGCCUGCCAGACCCAAUGCCCAGAAUAUGCAGAAUCCCAGGUGAUAUUUAGAAAACUUUCAUGGGCGGAACUUGCCGGGGGUGACAUCCAGCCUCCAGGCCCCUGGAAGAGGAGAGUAGUGUGAAAUACCUACAGAUUUGCUUUUACAUUUUCUAUAUAUUUUACAUUGUUAAGUUGUAUAUAGUUAUUGUUAAGCUGCAGCAUUUUCAGUAAAGUAUUUUAUUUUUGCUCUA